UACGUAGGGUGCGAAGCGUUGUCCGGAAUUAUUGGGCGUAAAGGGCUCGUAGGCGGUCCAUCGCUGUCGGGGAGUGAAAAGCUGGGGCUUAACCCCAGUCCUGCUUCCGAUGACGGGUGGACUAGAGGUGAGGUAGGGGAGAUCGGAAUUCCUGGUGUAGCGGUGAAAUGACGCGAGAUAUCAGGGAGGGAACACCGGGUGGCGAAGGCGGAUCUCUGGGCCGUUACCUGACGCUGGAGGAGCGAAAGCCGUGGGGAGCGAACAGG
rnacentral:rRNA from 1 species